rnacentral:rRNA from 1 species
AUUGAACGCUGGCGGCAUGCCUAACACAUGCAAGUCGAACGGGGUAGCAAUACCCAGUGGCGGACGGGUGAGGAAUACAUAGGAAUUUGCCUUUAGGUGGGGGAUAGCCCGGGGAAACUCGGAGUAAUACCGCAUGAUGUCGAAAGACCAAAGUAGGGGAUCGCAAGACCUUGCGCCUUUAGAGAAGCCUAUGUCUGAUUAGCUAGUUGGUAGGGUAAUGGCCUACCAAGGCGACGANCAGUAACUGGUCUGAGAGGACGAUCAGUCACACCGGAACUGAGACACGGUCCGGACUCCUACGGGAGGCAGCAGUGGGGAAUAUUGGACAAUGGGCGAAAGCCUGAUCCAGCAAUGCCGCGUGUGUGAAGAAGGCCUUC